rnacentral:rRNA from 1 species
GUCCACGCCGUAAACGAUGAGUACUAGGUGUUGCGGGUAUUGACCCCUGCAGUGCCGCAGCUAACGCAUUAAGUACUCCGCCUGGGAAGUACGGUCGCAAGACUAAAACUCAAAGGAAUUGACGGGGGCCAGCACAAGCGGUGGAGCAUGUGGUUUAAUUCGACGCAACGCGCAGAACCUUACCUGGUCUUGACAUCUACGGAACCCUCCCGAAAAGGAGGGGUGCCUUUCGGGGAGCCGUAAGACAGGUGCUGCAUGGCUGUCGU